CAACGUGGGUAAUCUGCCCUCGGCAUCGGGAUAGCCCGGGGAAACCCGGAUUAAUACCGGAUGGCCUCUCGAGCUCUCGGGCUUGGGAGAAAAGGUAGCUUCGGCCUCUGGCCGAGGAGGAGCCCGCGGCGGAUUAGCUUGUUGGUGAGGUAAUGGCUCACCAAGGCGACGAUCCGUAGCUGGUCUGAGAGGACGAUCAGCCACACUGGGACUGAGACACGGCCCAG
rnacentral:rRNA from 1 species